rnacentral:lncRNA from 1 species
GAUGGAGAUCCGGAUCCUUGACAUCUUUGAAGAGGAUUCUACCUUUCGCCCGCUCACCUCCCUCCGCCACCAUUGGUUUGAGCCCUCAGACCUCCUCCAUAAAAACAUUCUCCUCUUUUUAGAGUCAUAUAACAAUGAGCUCAACACCCUUGAGGCCAUAGACAUUAUCGUCGAUGAUGGGAGAUUGUGCAAUAUGAUCGAGAGAGGCGGGCUAGAGCAACGACUAAGGGAGGCAAUAAGAUCAUCGCACAUGUUGUAUGCCCCAUGCUUUAUAACAUGACAAGGACCUUCGUUCCUUCACCUUAGCAUUCGCGCCUUCGUCAAGGGAGUCAAGAGAGGGAAAUCUCGAGGGUUAUCACCAUGGAGGUUGUCACCAUGGAAAUUGUUACAACAAGGGUUAUCAUUGUGGUAGAGCAUAGCUGACAAUAGAAUCACCGUGGAGAAAAUUUUCAGAAGGCGAUGAAGGUGGUCACGAUAGCCAACAAUGCGACGAGACGAAGAAAACGACUACAGCGAAAUGAAAGGGUAAUCACAUCUUUUAGAAAUAAAUGGUAUUCUAUGGGGGAAAGUUUUUUUUUUUUUUGAGAAUUUAUCUUUAAAUUUUUAGAUGAAAUGAUUGAUGAUAAAAUCUCACAUUUUAGAUAAAAUUGUCUCUUUUUUUAUUUGAAGUCAAUAGUUUCAAAAACUCCGAUUAAACUCUACGCCCUCCUUCAUACAUAUUCCUAAUUUUGCGUUUUUGACUCUGAUCCUAACUUUAAACUUUUGAUCGUUUUACGAUGCUUAGCAUUUGCAACAAAUCCCCCUCCUCUUUUUAUUUUUAAUGUAGAUAAUCUAUUUCCAUUUAUCUUAUUCCAUUUAGAAUAUGAGCCAUGGGUACAUACAUAAUGUGUUCUAACGUUUUCUGAUACAUUCAGAAGCGAACCAAUACUUGUUGUAGACUAUGAGUUCAUAACCAUAGAAGUAAAUUUAUCUUUGUUCUCAACAUUCAUGGUUUUAAUUCUAAUAAGCACAAAGGACUUUGAGAUCAAUAUUUUGCCACCCCCCAAUGAUUGAGAUGCCCCAUAUCAUUAAGCUCAUCUUGCAACCAUGUCUCCAGAUAAGAUCAAUAGUAGCAACAAAUUUUUAGUCCUUGGUAAACAUUGAAACUGUCCUUUGUUAAAAUAAAGCAGACAGUUAACUCAAAAUCUCACCUGAGACAAAUCACCGAAUAUGGGGAGCUGAAUAGUAUAGGGCUAUUCUCAGAUGCUACAGCAGCAAAAUAAGAUUCACAACCCUUUCUUCGUCUCUCAAUGUUGUCCACAGUAGAGUGACAAAAGAGCCAUCUAUGAUUCAUUACAAAUAAUUUUUCCAUUGCAUUCAAUAGACAUACAAGAAAGAACACAUUUCCAGAUUUCAGUUAUAUCAGAAGCAGCACCCUAAUUGCCUUACAAGCUAUUGUGUCAUUAAUUUAUAUCUACAACAGUAUAUAUAAUUUACAUCAAACACUAUGUAUAAGCUGUUAAAUCCCAUAAAAUUAUCAACACAGCAACCAUUUAAAUUCUCUCAAGCUUCACAUCAUUUAGUAAGUGCAAGAUGUUGAUCUGCGUCAAUAAAUAAAGUCAUUGUCUAUGGCCUCUAAAUCAUCUCGAAGUCUUGAUGUUGCUUCAUCUGAAUUGCUAAACUCAGCCUGCAGGUUGUGUAAAAACAACCAUCAGAAACAUGACUUGAAAUCUACUUAAUGCAUUACAAAAGAUACGGAACUUGAGUAAAAGUUAGCAGGACACUCUAGGAAUGUUACUUGAGAUCUAUAACAACAUUAUUUUCUCCAUUUUCUUUUGGGGAAUGGAUUUCUGCUAUUUUUUAUUCUCUUCCGGUGGACUACACAUAUCAAACAUGUAUCAUAUUCAUGUAAGAGACAAGUUCAGUAUGCCACAGAUUUGUCAUAUCUACUUUAGAGAUUUAGGAAAUUUCAAAAAAUAAACUCAUGCUAUCUAAUAUAUACAUAAAUUUGUAAAGCACUAGAAGACUGAAUUAGAUAUCUUUGUCCUACAGCUCAUGUUCCUCCCAUUUAUCAAACCAUAGGUGCAGGAAAGUUAUUAGACAUUUAUUCAGUAAAAUGAAUUUGCAAGAAAUCCAUUAAGAAUAGUACAUGCUUUCAAAAUGAAUGGUUCUUGCAAGAUGUGAUGCCUUUAGCAGGUAUAAUAAUCAUUUCACUUGAUCAAUGGACAGAUUUCAUGGGAAUUGUACAAACAAAUAUAAAGUCAUUGAAUAAAACACCUCUGUUAAAUCUAGGCCUUCAAUGUAUGUCACGUAACUGGUUCCAAUCUAGGUUGGUUUUUUUACCUUGGCUUCGUGGUAUCGCCCAAGCAUGCGGCGGUACUGCUGCCUUGCGUCAGGGGACUCUACCAUCGACAGAACCCUUGAAACAGCUUCAUCGACAGCUGCAUCCACUUUUUGCUUCCUGAAAAUCUUAGUUAUGUCUUCUUCUUCCUCAUCACGGACCAUUUCUGGUUCAGCCCGAAACCCUCGUAAGCCAACUCCUUUCCUACGCCACCGCAAUAUGACCUUUUCAAUGACACUAACUGUCCAAACAAAUUCUCUAUACUUCUUUCGUACUUGAUGGCCUCUUACAUGAGCCUGUAAAGUUGAUGAAACAAAAGAAUGUGAGGGAACUGUAAGCCUUUAUUCCAUUAAAAGCAAUAUAUAUGUAUCCAAUUUGCUUUCCCAAUUAAAUUUCAGAGACCUCCCAUUUCCUAGUAUUGCAUUUACAACAGAACGUAAGAUGAGGAAUGAUCUGCUUAAGGACAAUCAAACAUCAAAUUUCAACAGGAAACUGAAUUUUAAUGCUAUAUAAAAAUCCUUUAUUCUAGAUAUGAUACUCAAUAAUAGAAUAGUAAUCUAUUAUAAUAAAAAAAGAACCUAGGUAAAAGAAAGUAGUAGUCAUAGAUGUCAAAACUGAGACAAUAUCCCUAUCAGGACGAGAUGAGAACAAAUUUGUGGGAGAUCAGUCUCAUCCACUUGAAUAACUCAGAAUUGAUGACUAUUAAAUAGUAUUAAGAUUUUUAGGAGUCUUAGUUGUUCCAUAUAUUUCGUGAGUUAUUCUUUAUUCAGAAAAAUUCUUGUGUCAAUCAAAAUCUCAUGUCAGAAAUUUUAUCAACAAGUAACAAAUAGAUUUUCAACUUGGUGUCUCUCAAUCCACUUCGGGAAGGACUACCAACAUGACUACCUUCAGCAUCCAGAAUUGAUUUGCAAAUAAAACACGUGUAAUAAGAUUUUAACAGGCGUCCGAGAUAUAUAAUUGUUAUUGCAAAUUAUCAUUUAAUGUAAUUCAUAAAUAAGCUGGUACAAUCUCCAAGUUAAUUGUGCCUUUGUACCAUGUAAAUUUUAAUAACACUGGUAAUAUAAGGAAUGCCAUUGAUGCAUGCAUGCUUGCACAGAACUACUGAAUAACAAACUCUGAUGAUUAUAAACAACAGAGAAUAACACAUCAUAUUUAGAGUACCUGUAUCUUCACUACAUGCUGGCGCAAAGUAAGAAAGUCUUUACGUCCCUUCCAACCUCGGUACUUUUUCUGGAUAGAUAGAGCUGCUUUAUCAAAAUUAUGAUCAUGUGAACCAUGAUAAAGGCGAUGACCCUUUGACGCUGCUGAAAGUUCUUGUAUGUCUCCUGGGGUCAUACCAUAAUCAUCACAACUCCAAGCAGAUUUUAGUUGUCUCUUCCUGAACGAAUGGGCACGGAAGGCAGCUUGUAUGCGAGCAGCAGCUUGAGCUGCAUUUCUGACAGCUGCCAAAGAAUCUUUUAGAGAAAGUUCAUCUUCAGUUCCACCACGUAUUUCAACACUUCUCUGAGAUAUGCUCUCAACAGCUCUUUCUGCUUCCACCUCAGCAGAACCCUUGGAUAUCUCGCUUUCUUCAAUAACGAGAGAAGAGAGAUGGCUAGUUAAAGCAACUUCUGAAAGAUAUCCAGCAAGACCUUUCUGACCUGUAGCAGAGGCUAGGAAUCCUGGUGUUUUGCCUAGUGGAUCUUGUGUGGUGGGAUCAGUGACUAACCCAGCUGAUGCACCAGCAGCAAGAAGUGCAGCUACCAUUUUCUCUCUGCAAAAGGUAAAAAGAAAGUUCCACCUAUAUCAGCAACAGAACUUUUAAUUCACUAAUUAAGAUUUAGGCAAAUUCUGUAUGAAAUAUAAGGUUUUUGUUAUUGGUUCUGCACAUUUGCCAGAAAAACAACUGACUUGAGAAUAUUGAAACCUGCUAUAUAUGGUAACAAUAUUCUAUUGGUCUGAGAGGGGAACCAAAUAGAUCCAAGAAUAGGUAUGACAAUAACAGAUGGUUAGAUAAACAAUUCUACACACCUGCCAUAAUGUGCAGCCCAAUGCAGGGCUGUCCAUCCAUUUGAAUCACGGAAAUUUAUGCCAACACCAAAAUCAAGAAUUGGACCUAGACCCCACUCGUAUCCAAGACCAGAAAUUAAAUGUAUAAUGCCUUGCUCUUGCUUUGACAACAAACAACCUGUUUGUUCAUUGCUCUGACGUCUCAAUGACAGCCAAUUCUGUAGCUUGUCUUUUAAUAGUUCUUGCAUGAUCCAGUCUCUGGUGUCUAGUGAAAUAUCACAGCCCAUUUGGAGUGCCUCAAUGAUUUGCUGCCAGCGUUCAUCUGUUGUAUUCACUUUUCUAGAAUUCUCAAGUUGAGUUUCGAUAGCACCUUUUGCAAUUGUUGAACCAUCGUAUCCACAUAACAUCAUUUGUACUAGUCUAGCAAGGAGCAACAAUUCUUCAGAAUUUUUUGCUGCAUCAGUUGUACAUAUAUCUCCAGAGCUAGAGGUGGUAGGCUUAGUACGAAAUUCAAAUUCUCGUACUUCACUGCAGGAUUCUCUGUUCCCAGAUGUGACACAUAGGGUGACUUUGCCACUACUAUGUUGUGGAGUUUGGCAACGAAGUACACCUUCUUGAAC